CCGACCCACCUUAGCUACAACUCUUCCCUGCACCGUCGAACCACCGGCCCCCUCUUCCCCCAGGCGGCCAGCGGACCACCUCCCUCUAAUACAGAACCACCACCAAGCCCCCUGCAGCUCCUCCCCAAGCCUCUCCCCGCAGCAUCCGACCCGACCGCCCCAACCACCUCCUUCCUCUCGUCGCAUCCCGCCUCCACUCCUUCUUUCCCCACCGGCCACCAGCCAACCGUGGCACCCCACUGCUCGAUCCCGUCGCUCGUUGAUGAGGCGGGCCGGAUCCAGGCCGCUGCGGACCCGCACAAUGACCCGCCGUGGGAAGCGCCUCCACCAACCUAUGCCGAGAGAGGCAGAUGCAACGGCUACGACGGGAGGGCUGGCCGCUGUGGCGGAUUUGAACUGCCACAAAGAUGGAUCGGAGUAGCCCCGCGUCCCCGGCGUCGAGAUCUGAGAGGCCCCGGCCACUAUGCGCCGGUCCCGCCAUGAAUCAGGUGGUCGUCGGGCCUGUUGCCUCAAGCCAGGGUGGCGUCGCCGCUGCCGCAGAUGCAGAACCCAGUGAGGAGCCCGAAGCGCGAUGUCGUCUCGGCCGCUGCCGAGUCUGGUGGUCGCCUAAAUCCCGUGCGCAAUCGUCUGCUCCUCAGCGACUGCUCUUCGACAACCACACAAAGCACGUCCUUUUCUCGGAAACCUUGCAGUUCGUCACCGUUCCCUGUGCGUUUGCUCCCCCCGGUGUAGUCUGGCGACCAUGAGCGUGCGGCUCGCUGGCACACUGGCGCACACGCAGUCCGCCCCCCGACGGCGCGUAGUACGACACUCCUAUUGGUGCAGCCAGCUGGCUGCACCUAUGCGUGACGACGACGAAGUCCCCAGGAUCAAGACGCCAGGGAGCAUCGCGUGCAGCUCGUUUUGGCUCAUCGUGCAGCUCGUCGCGGCUCAGGUUGCAGCUCGGCUUGCUGCGGACUGUAGUCCGCUUGAGUGGGCGCAUAGUUCGUCACUAGAUGGGUGCAAGAGACUGUCGGCCAGCCGAGCUUGCCGUUCUUUUGUCUUUUUUGUUCAGUUUGGAUGGCUGUGUGUCUCGGUUUGCACCGCACAUCAUGCAUUUCAACACCACUUUCGGCAUCUCGUCCCGUUUUGCAGCCUGGUGCCACUACGUGUUCAAUUCAACAGCAAAAAACAACAUGCAGUUGGCCGACCCGUGCAGUUUUGGUGUAUUUUUAUGCCUUAACCGUGCAGCUGGACUGGGUUCUCCCAACGAAGUUCAGAGGUUUUCGGUGUUCAGUGUACUCCCAAUUACCCAUGUAGUUCAUUUUUACUGUUAA